UACGUAGGGUGCAAGCGUUGUCCGGAAUUAUUGGGCGUAAAGAGCUCGUAGGCGGUUUGUUGCGUCGGCUGUGAAAUCCCGAGGCUCAACCUCGGGUCUGCAGUCGAUACGAGCAAACCAGAGUGUUGCAGGGGAGACUGGAAUUCCUGGUGUAGCGGUGAAAUGCGCAGAUAUCAGGAGGAACACCGGUGGCGAAGGCGGGUCUCUGGGCAACAACUGACGCUGAGGAGCGAAAGCGUGGGGAGCGAACAGG
rnacentral:rRNA from 1 species